rnacentral:rRNA from 1 species
UAGGGAAUCUUGCGCAAUGGGCGAAAGCCUGACGCAGCCAUGCCGCGUGAAUGAUGAAGGUCUUAGGAUUGUAAAAUUCUUUCACCGGGGAAGAUAAUGACGGUACCCGGAGAAGAAGCCCCGGCUAACUUCGUGCCAGCAGCCGCGGUAAUACGAAGGGGGCUAGCGUUGCUCGGAAUUACUGGGCGUAAAGGGCGCGUAGGCGGAUACUUAAGUCGGGGGUGAAAGCCCAGGGCUCAACCCUGGAAUAGCCUUCGAUACUGGGUAUCUUGAGUACGGGAGAGGUGAGUGGAACUCCGAGUGUAGAGGUGAAAUUCGUAGAUAUUCGGAAGAACACCAGUGGCGAAGGCGACUCACUGGCCCGUUACUGACGCUGAGGCGCGAAAGCGUGGGGAGCAAAC